ACACCCUCAAGCUCUGCUUGGUGUUGGGCGUCUGUCCCGCUUCGUGCGCGGACUCGCCCUAAAGGUAUUGGCAGCGAUCAUGCCAGCUUCUCGCGCAGCACAUUGCGCUUCUCGAGGCACCGGCGGAUCAGCGUCCAUCAAGCCCACUUCCACA
rnacentral:misc_RNA from 1 species